ACGGGGGGUGCGAGCGUUGUCCGGAAUCACUGGGCGUAAAGGGCGCGUAGGUGGUCUGAUAAGGGUGUGGUGAAAGCCCGGGGCUCAACCCCGGGUCGGCCGUGCCGACUGUUAGACUAGAGUGCUGUAGGGGCAGGCGGAAUUCCGGGUGUAGCGGUGGAAUGCGUAGAGAUCGGGAGGAACAUCCGUGGCGAAGGCGACUACCUGGACCAGCACUGACACUGAGGCACGAAAGCGUGGGGAGCAAACAGGA
rnacentral:rRNA from 1 species